rnacentral:lncRNA from 1 species
UAUGGAGCUUUCCAGGCUAGGGGUCUAAUUGGAGCUACAGCUGCUGGCCUAUGCCACUGCCACAGCAAUGCCAGAUCUGAGCCAUGUCUGCAACCUACACUACAGCUCACAGCAAUGCCAGAUCCUUAACCCACUGAGCGAGGCCAGAGAUUGAACCUGCAACCUCAUGGUUCCUAGUCAGAUUCAUUUCCACUGCGCCACAAUGGGAACUCCUCCACCUGUUUCUUAAUAAAACCUGCCCCUACCUAUAAUUUGAAAAAGUUAAGCAUUGCAUACUUUGGGGUUAAUUGUGCUGAGUCAGAGUGUUGGUUUUACUUCUAACAGGUUCAAAAAGGAUUUCUGAGAAAAGAUGGGGGGAAAAACUUUCCUAAACAUCUUAGUGAUGCUAGAAAGAUGUGACCGGAAUGUGGGUUCUUGUUCACACAGUUGAAGAAUGAACUCCACGAACAUACAGACAGCAAGCAAGCAAAGUCUUUAUUACAGGAAACCAAAUAGCUCCCAGGGCUGCUGGGAGGGAGGAGAAGAGCCCCCUUCUCUAUAGGGGUUUUUAUCCCUUAAAGAAGGGGGGGGUACCAAUGUGGGGUCCAGAAAGAUGUGGUUUUCUCCCAUUGGCCUUGCCCAGUUACCUAUAUCAGUCCUUGUCCAAUAGGGGUUUUAGGGGUGGAAACGUCCCAUAAGUUUUCUGGUUUCUUUGUCCUUCUCUUUCCUUAGUCACCAUCCUUCUCAUUCCUUUUCUGUCAGUUGAGUGGAGUAGGGAUUAAGGUCCAUGUGGGGGGAGGCACAUUUCCGUGGUGAACAAGGCCUGUGGGGAAUUACUCUCUGGAGCCCUUAAACCACGGAUGUUAAUCAAUGGCCAUAUCAAAGAAUGCAUCGAAGCCCCUGCUCCUACACUGACUACCUGAGUUAGCAUUCUGCCUCAUUAGCAUAGAGGAAAAACCCCCAAACACUCAACCUUAGUUCUUAUGUUUUUGUUUUUUCUACUCAAUAACUGUUUCACUUUGGACUUCUAGCCUUUUGACCCUCACUUUCAUCACCUGUAAAAUAGGCUCAUAAUACGUAUUUUACAGGGUUAUUUUGUGUGUUUAUUGUACUUAAUAUGAGGUGACUGUAUGGAAAUUGACACUUAAAAGCUGGUAGCUAUCAUUUAUUACUCUUGUUAUUUUUAGGAUUUCAUGUCGGUAGUCAGAGAUUAAAUUGAUUUGCAAUGUAGCAAUGCCAAGAAAGUAGUUUUUAAAAAUAGAAAUGUAUCCUUUCUUUUGAAGCGUUUGACAUUGAAGUAAGUUAUCAAAAAGAUGUUUUGAAAUUUCUUCCCCUAAAGGUCUUGAAACUAGGUCACAUUUGAUGGGGGAAGAGUUGGCUUGUCUUAGAUGACUAAACUAAAAAUUCUUUCCCAUUUGGAGGUUUAGUGACUUUAUCCCUGGCCUGAUGGACACAGAAAAUGGAUGUAAGUGACACAGAUGAAAGCAAAGGGCUAACAAUUGCUCUCCGUUUACCAAUUUCUAGUGUUUGUAAAGUGGUUCCUAGAGUUAUCUCUUAGUAGCAGUAAUAAUGCUUUUAACUUCUAUCCCAUAAUCAUCUUCCAGCAGUUUUAAAACAUUUUCUGUAAUAGCUAUUAAGUUAGUAGACAUUUCAGCUGGCUAGACUCUGUCUGGGUUGGUAAACAGUUUGUCCGGGAUAGAGAGAGGGGCCAGGCACCUGAGUCAUUUUGGAUUGUUCUGUCCACAGCAUAACCACUCAACAUACAUGCAGUUUCCCCUUUCACUCCAUUUGACUUCAACUUGUAAUUGGGAAAAGGGAAAAGUAAUAUUUCUAAUAAUGAAGAAAAUUGCCUUAUUAAAGUCUUUUUUUUCUUUGUUCCUGUGGAAAAGCAGAGGGAACUGUAUUUGGUCUUUGACCCCUCUCCUGAUACAGAGCUUGGGAUUUCCUAAAGGAAGAGAGCAAUAAAGGUGUCUUUUGUUAUGUUAAUGAGAUGGCUUUUGAAAAGCAUCCAAAGAUGGGGAUGCUGGUUGCCAGGGGAACCAACUCUGUAAUUAGAGGAUGAGACCUUCCAGUCCCACCCCCUAACUUCCUUGGGAGGGGAGAGUGGUGGUGACUUCAGUUACCAAUGGUCCAGGAUUUCAUCAAUCCUUCCUACGUAAGGAAGCCUCCAUAAAAGCUCCAAAGAGCCCCAUUCAGAGAACUUCCUCACUCAAGGGGAGAUGUUGCAGACUGGUGUUCUCAGAGAGGUGCAAGCUUCAUGAGACCCAUCUGGCUGUUCCUGAGUUAUAUCUGCUGUAAUAAACAGGUAAGUAAAAUAUUUAUCUGAGCUCUGUGAGCUGCUCGAGCAAAGCAGUCUAAUCUGAGGAGGGGGUCGAGGGAACCUCCAAUUAAGAAGCUGUUGGUCAGAAGCCCAGGUGACAACCUGGGCUUGGAAUUGGCGUCUGCAGCCAGGAGGUGGGGGCGGGGGAAUCUUGUGGGCCUUGAGCCUCUAACCUGUGACACCUGAUGCCACCGCCAGGUAGAUAGCAUUAGAAUUGAGUGGAAUUGUAGGAUACUUAGCUAGUGUCAGAGGAUUGUCUGGUGUGGGGGGAAAAACCCCACACAUAUUGGGAUUGGGUGUAGAAUCUUAGGGACACACUGAAACAUGUAGGGAUUCACACUGGAUUCGCCUGUUGUUUAAAAAAAAAAAUGAACUGAGUGAAUUUUAAAGGUCUUCUUGGCGUUCUUCAACAACUUAUAAAUCAGGCAGCAUCCAUUCUGGCAGAAGGAAUGGAGUUCCAAAGAUCUCUACAAAAUGAAAAGCUUUUAAGGCAGAAGGGAGCAGUUCUAAAGAAGUGAAACUGGGCAAUAAUGUGGGUUGGUUAUUGCAAGGUUAUUCUCCUUUAGAAGAUGGCAGGGGCCUGUGAGGAUGAUUUCCUACCCUGUGCUUAUCCAGGGGUUUCUGAUUGGUUAACAAUUCCACUUCUGGCAGAGCCAGAAACUGUCUCAGCUUGGUAACAUUGGGCUUAGCAUAAGCAACUCCAUUUUAAGCCUAUCAUCUUUAACACUAAUCAGUGUGUUUAAAAUGCUGAACAUAUGCUGUUCUUUUUUUCACUGCUUGCUUCACAUGAAUAUGCCCUAACUCCUGAUAGGAUUUUAUGUGUUCUGUGGUUUUGAAUAUGUAGUAAGAAUUGAUAAAUAUUCAUUGAAAUUAAAUUAGUACUAGGAAUACAUUAAUAUUUCUAAAAAAUAUGGGGCAGAAAUAACAUACACCUGGCUGCCUAUGUCAUUACCUGUAUGCCCCAUUCUCUUUUUAGAAUUUAUGCCUUAGGAAGUCACUAAAUAUUAAAUACAAAAGCACACACUAAAUUAGAGUAACAUAUUGAUGAAUGAUCUAGAAAACAGCUUUAUUCAGUUGUAAACUCCACUUAAUAGCUAGGUAAAUAUAUCCUAAAAAAAGUGGGAUUAAGAAAUCUUUACCGCUGGCUGAUUAAUUUAAAAUUUAAAUACCACUGGCUCUCAAGACUGAGUUCCAAAAUUACGGGUUUAUCCUCAAGAAUAUUAACAUUUUAUUAACUAGAAACGUAGUAAUGGGUGAAAUUGACUAAUUUUGACUCUGCGAUAAUUCCAGAUUUGUGACAGGGUCACCCCAAUAAAAAUUGCAGGACCCCUGUUAGGAGAAAAGGCAUUGUUAAAUGCAAUCAAGGACAGUGAACAUAUUUGAGGCACGCUAUUAGGUACUUUAACGUAUUUUCUUACAAUAUGUAAAUGGAUGCUGAUCAUUUCAAGUGAAUGUCACCUGUUCAAAGAAGGCAAACAGAAUCCAAGGAGUACUUUGAUGUAAAGAAAGUGUGGCUUCUAGGAACAUAGAAAUAAUCAAAUUCUAAAAUGUUAUGUAGACUUCAGUAAAGUGGCCUUUCUUAAGAUUAGUCCUCUUCUUUUGAUAUCAGACAUUUUAAAGAACCCAAAUCAGCCUUGUGAACCCAAACUAAGGACAUACAACCUUUUGAUGACUGAGGCAUGGUUGUUGAGUAAAUUACUACUAAUGAUAAUGAUUCCAGUGACCUGUUAUACUUGUCCUCUGCUAGGUCUUGUUUUAAGUAUAUUAAGUGGUUUAUUUUCUUCUCACACUUACCCUAUGGUGGAAUGCUUUGCCAUACCUGUUGGACAGGGAAUGGCACAGAGGCUUGGAGAGUUGAAGUGACCUGCCUUGGUCAUACCUCACUAAGUAGCAGUGGGGUCAGACCUCGGAUGUGUCUGGCUGUAGAGUGCACCUUGCUACCAUUUGGCUUUAACUACUCCAUGGAAAUCUUCCCUCUCAUUUUUAGCUCUUCCCCGCCAACCCCCACUGUGAAGUAUUACACAGAAGUUCUGAGAACAAACGAGUGCAAGUUACACAAUAUAGGUUUUAGAAAUAAUGUGCAAAACCCAUCCAGGACCUCUUAAUUCCGUCAACCACAAGUCCUGCCCAGCCCAUUGGCUCUCUUCUCAUAUCCAGAAGCUGCUGCCUCCUUCUGACUCAACGUGGCAGGGAAAAUAGGCAGUUUCUCUCUAGUGUGUCUCAGGUCUCUUCUGGCCACUCAGCCCUGGCGUGAGUUCCCAACUUCCCAGGUGAACCAGCCAGCUUGUUCUUGAGAGGAGAGAACUUGUAGCUUUCUCUCAGGGGACCCCCAGUAUUAAUGGUACCAUCUCCUCCACUGAUCUGCUGUAUGGAUAACUAUGUUGAUCUUUUAUUCCUGGUAUUUGUUCCUUACUCUCUUGGGCCUCAGAGCAGCAGCACAUAAUUAUUGAGACUCCCAUAGUCUUCUUAUUUCACUUUGCUAUUUUGGAGAAAUCCUGGUCCUUACCAUCACGAAGGACACUCACUGUACAGAGGUGCUCUUGUCCCUGUCUUUGGGGUGGUGAUGGAAUUACAUUUGGGUUUCCUGGCAGCCUUGCCUUUGAAGGUAAUGGACCAUUCAGUGGCACUGUCUGUAUCUGUGUAGAGCCGACUUCGGAUGUAGGAGUUGACUCAGUUUCUCUCUCUCCACUUUUUCUUCAGACGUGGAAUCGAGUAUUAAAAUUUUAUUUCUUCUUACUGAGUCAUAGAGGCAGAAAUCCCCUAGAGGAGACUCAGUGCCUUUCACCUUUUUACCACCAACCACUCAAGCCUCCCCCUUGGCCUGAAACCUAGGGGGGUGGCAACUUCUGUUCCAGUAUCUAAGUGAAGCUCAGGAAGGCUUUUCCAUGUGCCUGUUUUUCAGGAUGCCUGUUUAGGAGUUGUUUAAUUCAAUGGGCGUUGGCUCAAGCGGUUCCUGUUAUAAAAUCUCCUAGUAUUCAAAAACAAUUAGGUUGUAAAAAAAAAAAAA